CUGAAUUUCAGUUAUGACUUGAAUGUUGUUUUUAUCUCCUGUUAAUUAAUGAACUCAAAAUCAGAAAGAUGUGAACGAUCCUUAUUACUCGAAAGGUGCUUCAGCCUCUGGGUUUAGCACCAAAAUCACCAAAAUUGCUUUCAAAAAAAAUCUGAAUACGAUUGCUUGAAUAUGCAUUUUCCCACCUGGAGCAUAAUGAAGAUUCAAGAAGAAUUUGGACAAGGUACGAAGGUAAGAAGAAGGAUGGUCAGAAGCCCUCCCACUGCAGUGGUCCUUCUGGUGAUGCUCUCAGCCAUUACAAGCAAGAUCCAUACAAAAGGCAACAGUUGAUCCUGGAGAUGAUUUCAACUCGUUCAGGAUUUUCUACAGUUAUUAUUAAAGGUCCGAGUGCAGUGGGGUUUUGAUUUCCUUUUCUGCAGCCAUCUGUAAGACUUGUGACAACAGCUGUUCCUAAAGCAAGUGCCAGCUCCUAGAUUUCCUG
rnacentral:lncRNA from 1 species